UGACUGUGCAAAGGUAGCAUAAUUAAUUGCCUUAUAAUUGAAGGCUUGUCUGAAUGGCUUGACGAGGUAGCUACAAAUAUUUGAUUUUUUAGUGAAAUUGGUUUGGAGGGCACAGAAUCCUCCUUUUUUAAUUAGACGGAAAGACCCCAGAAUCUUUCAUUUUUGUCUGGGGCAGAUGGUAAUUUUUCAUUUCUAUUUUGACCCCUCCAGGUUUAUUGAGUUAAGUUACUCUGGGGAUAACAGUGUUAUAGUUUAUUAGAGGCCUUAUCGAAUAAACUGUUUGCUACCUCGAU
rnacentral:rRNA from 1 species